CAUCAAUUUUCCCUGCCGCUUUCAAACUUCUAUAGAUUUUAGCAACUUUCCCAAUUACAACUGCUAGCAAUGAACGAUCUUUUUCAACAUUAAAAAGAUUGAAAACAUAUUUGUUAAACACCACGUAUGAAAAUAGGUUGAAUAGUUUGGCAAUGAUGAAUAUACAUAGUGAUAUAAUGAUAGACCCUGAUGAUGUCUUAAAUAAAUUAGCGACCAGA